CUCCCCACAGCUAGUCAGGGGUUGUGACCACAUCUAGAAGUGGCUUUCCAGACCUUAUUAAAGCUGCAGGAGCACAUGUGACUCUCAAAGCAGGAGUUCAGCAGCUCCAGAAGUGCCAAGGAUUGGAUCAGAGAGCAUAAAACCUAGGUUUUGGAGCUCGCACUGACAUCUGUGCUUCUUUCCAAACUCACGCUUCUGUGCACAGCUGAUCAGUGAAUCGGAGUUUGGCAGCAAGUUAUGCUGGCAGUAUCACCAGGC
rnacentral:lncRNA from 1 species